rnacentral:rRNA from 1 species
CUUGCUAAUUUGCUGACGAGUGGCGCACGGGUGCGUAACGCGUAUACAAUCUACCUUUUGCUGAGGGAUAGCCCAGAGAAAUUUGGAUUAACACCUCAUGGUAUUAUUGAUAGGCAUCUAUUAAUAAUUAAAGGUUACGGCAAAAGAUGAGUAUGCGUCCCAUUAGCUAGUUGGCGAGGUAACGGCUCACCAAGGCAACGAUGGGUAGGGGUCCUGAGAGGGAGAUCCCCCACACUGGUACUGAGACACGGACCAGACUCCUACGGGAGGCAGCAGUGAGGAAUAUUGGACAAUGGGCGAGAGCCUGAUCCAGCCAUGCCGCGUGCAGGAAGACUGCCCUAUGAGUUGUAAACUGCUUUUAUACAGGAAGAAUAAGCCUUACGUGUAAGGUGAUGACGGUACUGUAAGAAUAAGGACCGGCUAACUCCGUGCCAGCAGCCGCGGUAAUACGGAGGGUCCGAGCGUUAUCCGGAAUUAUUGGGUUUAAAGGGUCCGUAGGCGGAUGAUUAAGUCAGGGGUGAAAGUUUGCAGCUCAACUGUAAAAUUGCCUUUGAUACUGGUCAUCUUGAGUUGUAUUGAAGU